rnacentral:rRNA from 1 species
AUUGAACGCUGGCGGCAGGCUUAACACAUGCAAGUCGAGCGGGGUGAUGGUGCUUGCACUAUCACCUAGCGGCGGACGGGUGAGUAAUGCUUAGGAAUCUGACUAUUAGUGGGGGACAACAUUUCGAAAGGAAUGCUAAUACCGCACACGUCCUACGGGAGAAAGCAGGGGAUCUUCGGACCUUGCGCUAAUCGAUGAGCCUAAGUCGGAUUAGCUAGUUGGUGGGGUAAAGGCCUACCAAGGCGACGAUCUGUCGCGGGUCUGAGAGGAUGAUCCGCCACACUGGGAUUGGGACACGGCCCAGACUCCUACGGGAGGCAGCAGUGGGGAAUAUUGGACAAUGGGCGCAAGCCUGAUCCAGCCAUGCCGCGUGUGUGAAGAAGGCCUUAUGGUUGUAAAGCACUUUAAGCGAGGAGGAGGCUACUUUAGAUAAUACCUAGAGAUAGUGGACGUUACUCGCAGAAUAAGCACCGGCUAACUACGUGCCAGCCGCCGCAGUAACAC